CUUGUGCAGUCCUACAACCAAAAGCCAAUGUUGUCUAGACCUCAGCCCAAAUUCUACAAGGGCUCAAACUACUUUGAGAUCGAUGUCGACGUGCACUGGUUCAGCAACAUAUCAUGAAAGGGCCUCGAGACCUUCCGAGAGCGGCACAAAGAUGGCGUCAUCGAUCUUGGGCUGACCAUUCAGGUACUUACGUUUCCUUGUGUUCUUGGCCUUGGGACCAGUUGGCAUGAGGAGUAUUUUGUUCAGAGGAAGGCUAAAGUAUGA
rnacentral:rRNA from 1 species